UGUUUAAAAGCAAUGAGGGGAUGCCUUGGGUAAAAAAGCGUAUGAAGGACGUAGUUGGUUGCGAAAAGCUUCGGUAAGGUGCCAACAACCGAUUGGAACCGGAGAUAUCCGAAUGGGGAAACCUACUCCGUAUAGCGGAGUGCCGUAUAGGCCAAGACCUGGUGAAGUGAAAUAUCUCAGUAGCCAGAGGAAAAGAAAUCGUAAAGAGAUUCCCGUAGUAGUGACGAGCGAACUGGGAAGAGUCCAAACUUAUAUAGUGUAAGGUGCUAGCCGUUGCUAUAUAAAGGGUUGUAGGGUUGUUUAGAGUCGUCUAGUAGCGAUUCAGGGAGAGAGUCUUUCUUUAGAAGAAAUAUCUGAAAAGGUAUACCAUAGGGGGUGAAAGUCCCGUAUUCAAAAAAGAAAUACCACCCAAGCAAUUCCUGAGUAGUGUCAAACACGAGAAAUUUGGCAUGAAUCCGCCCAGACCACUGGGUAAGACUAAAUACUUUUUUACACCGAUAGCGCAUAGUACCGUGAGGGAAAGGUGAAAAGAACCCCAGGAGGGUAGUGAAAUAGAACCUGAAACUUAUUACUUACAAAUAGUAGGAGCCCUAUAUGGGUGACUGCGUACCUUUUGUAGAAUGGGCCUGCGAGUUACUGUAUGUAGCAAGGUUAAG
rnacentral:rRNA from 2 species